rnacentral:rRNA from 1 species
AGCGAACGCUGGCGGCAGGCCUAACACAUGCAAGUCGAACGAACCUUUCGGGGUUAGUGGCGGACGGGUGAGUAACACGUGGGAACGUGCCUUUAGGUUCGGAAUAACUCAGGGAAACUUGUGCUAAUACCGAAUGUGCCCUUCGGGGGAAAGAUUUAUCGCCUUUAGAGCGGCCCGCGUCUGAUUAGCUAGUUGGUUGAGGUAAUGGCUCACCAAGGCGACGAUCAGUAGCUGGUCUGAGAGGAUGAUCAGCCACAUUGGGACUGAGACACGGCCCAAACUCCUACGGGAGGCAGCAGUGGGGAAUCUUGCGCAAUGGGCGAAAGCCUGACGCAGCCAUUCCGCGUGAAUGAUGAAGGUCUUAGGAUUGUAAAAUUCUUUCACCGGGGACGAUAAUGACGGUACCCGGAGAAGAAGCCCCGGCUAACUUCGUGC